UACAGAGGGGGCAAGCGUUAUUCGGAAUUAUUGGGCGUAAAGGGCGCGUAGGCGGCCUGGCAAGUGGAAGGUGAAAUCCCUCGGCUUAACCGAGGAACUGCCCUCCAAACUGCUUGGCUUGAGACCGGGAGAGGUGAGUGGAAUUCCCAGUGUAGCGGUGAAAUGCGUAGAUAUUGGGAGGAACACCAGUGGCGAAGGCGGCCAUCUGGACAGAUACUGACGCUGAGACGCGAAAGCGUGGGGAGCAAACAGG
rnacentral:rRNA from 1 species